UUUGAGGCAAACUUACAAUGGCGAUUCGAAAUUUGUUGCUUCAAAUUACGAGCGAGAACUGCGAGAGUGUCCUCGUUACUAUACCGGGAAUCGGCACUAAUCGACGAUAUCAUUUUGCUGUCACUGUGCGUCCGUAUGCGCAACGUAAACGACAAAGUCAACCGAAAAUUAUCGAAUUUCUGGGGAAAAAUUCAGAUCAAAAUGAAAAGAAAUUUACUGAAAAUUUGUGAAACGAUCGAAAUCUGGUUCACAUUUUUCGCACUGCGUGUGUAAAGAGUGAUUACCACUCCAGAGCUUUGAAAUUUUCGAAUAAAGUGGCUAAAAAUUACGU